rnacentral:rRNA from 1 species
UACGAAGGGGGCUAGCGUUGUUCGGAAUUACUGGGCGUAAAGCGUGCGUAGGCGGUUUGUUAAGUCUGCUGUGAAAUCCCCGGGCUCAACCUGGGAAUGGCAGUGGAUACUGGCAAGCUAGAGUGCGGUAGAGGGGUGUGGAAUUCCCGGUGUAGCGGUGAAAUGCGUAGAGAUCGGGAGGAACACCAGUGGCGAAGGCGGCACCCUGGACCAGCACUGACACUGAGGCACGGAAAGCGUG